rnacentral:lncRNA from 1 species
AACUUCGGAAAUUCAUAACUUCUUCAUACGAACUCCGUUUUCGACGUUCUUUAUAUCCACGCGAAGGUGAGACCACGCUCUACGACUUUCGUUUAGACUCCGUCGGCUAAUUUUGACUUUAUUUUUAUUAAUUAUUUUUAAUAGGCCGGGACAGAAACUUUCGUUAUAAAUUCAUAACUUCUUCGUUUGACGUCCGUUCUCGCCUAACUUUUUAUCGUUUCAAUACCAACAAUGAGAUCUUCGAUUCUCAUUUAGAUUGCUUCGGCUAACAACCGCUCGAUCUCAAAUCGAGUAAAACAGGCUGUAUAUCGCUAAGCCGGAACUUCGAUAAAUCAUAACUUCCUCAUACGAAGUCAGAUUUGGGCGUUCUAUAUAUAUUCGGAAACCUCGUUUCAACUACUACAACAUUAACCAAAGAUAUUAAGUUUAUUUUACACUUAAAUUUUGACGCUUAUUUUUAUUCUUAAUUAAUCAAACCACAUAAUUAAGCAAUUAAGCACAAAACACAUAAUACUCAAAUAAUACAAUCUUAUUAUUUCAAAACGGGUUACAAAGGUUAACCUAGACUAUUACAUUGCUAAAAAUGGCAAGCCCGGAAACACAGGCGUUACAAUUCUCUCCACCUUAGAAUGAUUCCGUCCCCGGAAUCACACAUCAACAAACAAAUGCGGAUAGCGACUCAACAUGUCACUCUCCGUCUCCCAGGUGAGAUUCGGCCCAUUCGUGUGUUUCCAUCGGACAAGCACUAACCCAACCAUUUUGCGUCGCAACUUCUUAGUCUUUCGGUCAACAAUUGCCUCUGGUUCUUCAAUCAACCUUUUGUUCUCAUCAAUUCUCAAUUCAGAAAUUGGAAUUAUAUCGGGAACUUCUCCCGUGAACUUCCUCAAAUAACACACAUGAAAGGUGUUGUGAAUUCCAUUCAGUUCUUCGGGUAAUUCGAGCUUGUAAGCUUGAUUCCCAAUCCUCUGAAGGACUUUAAACGGUCCAAUAAACCUUGGACUCAACUUUCCCCUUUUACCAAAUCUUAUAAGUCCCUUCCACGGCGAGACUUUAAGCAAAACCGAAUCUCCAACCUCAAAAGUCAUCGGUCUUCGCUUCUUGUCAGCAUAGCUCUUUUGACGAUCUUGAGCUGCUAACAUUCUUUCCCUAAUUAUUUUCAACUUUUCAGCAGUUUGAUGAACCAUCUCCGGUCCCAUAAACUGCUUUUCCCCAGCCUCAAGCCAACAAGACGGCGUACGACACUUCUGUCCAUACAAAGCUUGAUAAGGUGCCAUCUUAAUGCUCGAGUGAAAACUAUUAUUAUAGGAAAAUUCUACCAACGGUAAAUGUUCAUCCCAAUUACCUAGGAAUUCCAAGGUACAUGCUCUCAGCAUAUCUUCAAGUGUUUGUAUUGUUCUUUCACUCUGACCAUCAGUCUGCGGAUGGUAAGCUGUGCUUAAACAUAACUUGGUACCCAUUUCCUCUUGUAGACUUUUCCAAAACCUUGAGGUGAAACGGCUAUCACGAUCCGAUACAAUCGUUAACGGAACACCGUGAAGCCUCACAAUUUCCUUCACGUAAGAAUUCGCAAGCUUUUCCAUAGACCAUUUCUCCCUGGCCGCUAUGAAAUGCGCACUCUUAGUGAAUCGAUCAACGACCACCCAAAUCAUGUCGUGACCAUUCUUUGUUCUGGGCAGUUUAGUGACAAAAUCCAUAGCAAUGUCUUCCCACUUACCCAUAGGCACAGGCAAUGGUUCUAAACUCCCGUAAGGUUUCUGAUGUUGUGUCUUGACUCUCGCACAAGUCACACACUCGGCCACAUACUUUGCAACAUCAAGCUUCAUCGUCGGCCACCAGUAGUAGGGUUUCAGGUCCCUAUACAUUUUAGUGCUACCCGGAUGAAUUGAGUACAUGGUUUUGUGAGCUUCUUCCAUCAGAAGAUCCCUAAUUCCUCCUGACUUAGGUACCCAAAUACGAUCUUGGAAUACCUUCAGUCCAUGACCGUUAGUACCAAACACCAACGUUUUACCCAAACGUUCCUCCUUUCGGUCAUUUUUCUCAGAAGCUUCCUCUUGAGCUUUCUUUAUACUUUCCACAAUAGUCGAGACAACUUCAAUUCUCAACGCUCUUGGCCUCUUCCUUUCAAGAUUGACUUUCCGACUGAGAGCAUCAGCAACAACAUUAGCUUUACCGGGGUGGUAAAGUAUCUCGCAGUCGUAGUCUUUAAGUAAUUCUAGCCAGCGUCGUUGCCUCAUAUUCAAUUCUUUCUGAUUAAAGAGGUAUUGGAGACUCUUAUGAUCAGUGAAAAGUUUGCACUUCGUGCCAUAGAGGUAAUGCCUCCAUAUUUUCAGAGCGAAAACUACCGCUGCCAACUCCAAAUCAUGAGUCGGGUAAUUCUUUUCAUGCUCUUUCAGCUGUCGAGACGCAUAUGCUAUCACCUUUUCUCUUUGGGUCAAAACACAACCCAAUCCAACACCAGACGCAUCGCUAUAAACAGCGAAGUCUUCAACUCCAUCGGGUAGAGAAAGUAUCGGUGCCUCGCAUAGCUUCUUCUUUAACUUCUCGAAUGCUUCUUUAUGCUUCUCACUCCAAGCAUAAGUAGCUCCUUUGUGGGUCAAAGCUGUUAAUGGAGUAGCAAUCGAAGAAAAGCCUUGGAUAAACCUUCGGUAAUAUCCGGCUAAUCCUAAAAAGCUUCGAAUCUCCGUGGGACUUUUCGGUUGUUCCCACUUCGUCACAGCUUCGAUCUUCGCUGGAUCAACCAUUAUCCCUUCUUGGUUGACCACGUGACCCAAGAAUUGGACCUCACGAAUCCAAAAAUCACAUUUGGAGAACUUCGCAUAAAGCUUCUCCUUCUUCAAAACUUCUAACACUUCUCGCAAGUGUCUGCCAUGCUCCUCCUGGCUUUUCGAGUAGAUCAGAAUGUCGUCUAUGAACACUAUCACGGAUUUAUCAAGGAAAGGAUUACAAACCCUAUUCAUCAAAUCCAUGAACGCUGCUGGAGCAUUGGUUAGUCCAAACGACAUAACCAAGAACUCGUAGUGUCCAUAUCUAGUUCUGAAUGCAGUCUUCUCGAUAUCUUGCUCUCUUACUUUCAGCUGAUGAUAUCCUGACCUAAGAUCGAUCUUCGAGAAAUAGCUCGAACCUUGCAAUUGAUCAAACAGGUCAUCAAUCCUCGGCAACGGAUAUCUAUUCUUUAUUGUUGCCUUGUUCAGCUCUCUGUAAUCGAUGCACAUUCUCAUACUUCCAUCUUUCUUCUUUACAAAUAACACCGGAGCUCCCCAGGGCGAUGAACUAGGUCUAAUGAAACCUUUGUCCAAUAACUCCUGAAGUUGCAUCAUCAGCUCCUUCAUCUCCGUCGGUGCUAAUCGAUAAGGUGCUUUUGCUAUUGGCGUGGUUCCUGGUAACAAGUCUAUUCUGAACUCCACUUGUCUAUCAGGUGGUAAUCCAGGAAGAUCCUCGGGAAAUACUUCCGGAUAAUCACACACCACUGGAAUGCUCUGCAUCACCUUCUUUUCUUUCUUAGCAUCAAUCACGAAUGCUAAAUAUGAUGUACAUCCCUUGGUCAAACACUUUCUGGCUUUCAUUAGAGAAAUGAUUCCAGAAUUCACUCUGCGUUUGUCCCCAUACACCAUAAACGAAUCUUUCCCAGGCGGGUUUACUUUAACUAUCUUCUUCUUGCACAAAAUUUCGGCAUCAUUGGCGCUAAGCCAAUCCAUUCCCAAGACGAUGUCGAAACCAUUUAGUUCGAUAGGCAAUAAUUCCUCGAGAAACUUAUUCCCAUUAAGGUCGAUCAAGACGUUUUUCAUACGAUGGCUAACAGGUACAAACUUGCCACUAGCUACUUCGACUAAUAAAGCAUUAUCUAGUCUAUCAACAGGCAAAGCUAGCUUUCUACCAAACUCAUGCGAAAUAAAGGAGUAGUUGGCUCCAGAAUCAAACAAUAUAUGAGCAGGUAAUUCGUUUACGAGAAAGGUACCUGAAGCGACAUCAGCUUCAUCUUUCGCAGCCUCAAGUGUCAUCUGGAAGGCUCUCGCCUUCGGCUUUGGUGGAAUGUUGGGCCUAGCUGCCUCCUUCUUCUUCGGACAGUCUUUCAAAAUAUGCCCCUCUUCAUUACACCCAAAACACAUCCUUUUGUUGUUCGGACAUUCAUUGGCAAAAUGUCCAACCUUUCCACACUUGUAGCAGGUCACAUCCUCGCUACAUUUCCCAAAGUGCUUUUUCUUACACUUAUCACACCACUUUGCUUCGCCUCCUUUUCCUCCAAACUUUUUCGAAUCAGAUUUCGAAAAUUUGCUCUUCUUACUGGAACCAGAUGUUCCUUCAAACUUCCUUUUCUCACCAACCUCAACCUUGACGGUGGUUCUCCCCUUGAUCAUGUUCUCCACAGACUUGGCAGCCCAGAUAGCUGCCUCUAGAGUAAGUGCCUGACGUACCGGCACCUCGUACUCCCAUGGAAGUCCCUUCGCAUACCGAUCCACCUUUGUCAGCUCGUCUGGAACGAUACGCAAGGCAAACUCCAUCUUAUCGGUGAAGUUAUUGGUGUACUCAUCCACUGACAUGCUACCCUUCGUCAAUGUCAAAAACUUGUUCUCCAACUCCAACAGAUUUUGAGCCGAGCAGAACUUGCGCUUGAACUGCACCAAGAACUCUGCCCAUGACAAUUGCAGUGGCUCAUUAGGGCUUAAGGUCUUCCCUAGAGUGUUCCACCAACGAACGGCUCCACCUCGGAAUUGUCGCACGGCAUAGAUAGUCUGCAACUUGCCUCUACAGCCACAUGUCAUAAAGGCUAACUCCAUUUCGGAGAUCCAAUCCAUAACCCCAAUCGGAUCCUCCUUUCCAUUGAAGGUCGAUGGUUUACAAGUCAAAAAGUCCUUGUACUUGCAUCCCAUUCCAUCAUUCCUUCCAUCAUGGUUAUCUUGCCUAACUAUCGGUGGGUUGGCUGGACCAACAGACCCACUGAAGUUUCCACCUUCCGAGUGCCCUUCAUUCAGUUCAGGCUCUUCCACACGAAUCGACAGUUCUUCACGAUUUUGUUGAAGCAACCGUCUAGUUUCAUCCAUCUGACGAUCCAACAUCGUCUGAAUCAUCAAUUGCACACCAGCCAUGGUUAUUGGCUCAGGUGCUGCUGCUACGACAGGUAUUGGCUCAAUCACUGGUGGUUGAUUCCUGUUUUCGUCAGCAUUUCCAACUCCACUUCUUGUUCUCACCAUUUUGAUCUACACCGAAUAAGGUGAAAUUAGAUCCUCAAUCAUGAUAGAUAUUCAAAUCAUCCUUAUCACUCCGAAACGUUUACAUGCUAGUUCUAAUAUCGUAGACGUACGCUUAGAAUCCUACACACAUAAGGUUUCUAGAUCCGGUCGGCAACAGACCAUAGAUCCGAACAAAUAAUAUCAUAUAUGGCAACAUAUAACAUUUAGCACAUAAAGCAUUUUAGGCAACUUUCCUAAAAUAAACUAGUGCUCGUGUCUAAAUCACAACAGACACACAUCUCAAAACUUCACUUAGCAUUCUAAGUUUAAGUCUAGAAAUCCUACAAAUUCCUAGUUCGCUUAAACUAAUGCUCUGAUACCAACUGUGACAUCCCCAAAAUCUCGGCCAGAAAAGACCGAUUUUCAUUUAUGCUUUUAAAUAUUUUCAGAGUAAAUCCUUUUGAUUUGAAAGAGUUGCGGAAUUUGUUCCCAAAAACAAAACAUGAUAAAACAUUGUUUACCGAAGCAUUUCAUAAAAGAAAUGUAUUUUCAUUAUAAUCAAAACUCGGGGUGUCAUGUUCCGAUACAGACCAAUAAGCAUAAACGAAUACAUUACAAGUCAUAUAACAAAUAUAAACAUAUGCAGACUUGUAAACAAAACAACUUGAUGGUUCAUCCAUCUCAUGCCCUUCCGCCACUACCUGUAAUACAAUUUAAAACUGAGUGGGUCAGGCUUGGGAGCCUGGUGAGCAUAUAGGGUUUUCAACCCACAAUAAAUAUCAUAUUUAAUUUUCACCAACCAACAAUAACCCAAUUACCCAUUCCCGUUAUUCUCACUUUAAUGUCCCUAAAACAACUAACAUAAGGGACCUAGUCUAAGAAUAUUUCAUCGGGGCGACAACACAUGCUUCGGGGGUACCUCAGCAAUAUAAGUCAAAUAAGGCAACCAUGAGGGGGAUGGAGUACAGCGAAUGAACACCCAAGUUCAUUAACACCUACAGGUGGCGAACCUGCUAAUGUUUCCACAAGACUGUCUAGAAUAGCCAGUGGUCGUCAUCUAAACUCCGCUAGAUGACUCAAUCAAACAACAACGAGGCCUCUCAUCUGUUUAUUACACACCAACUGUCUACCCAUGUUCUACCCAACAUAUUAGUAGAUAAAAAUAUACAUUUGUAUACAUAGUUUAAAGAAAACCUGUAUAGCAUGCUUUAAUCAACACAUAUAUCACAUAACAGAUGAGGCACACACACACAUAACACAUAUCUCAUAAAGAAAUAAGCAGAUCUAUAAGAUAGAAGAGAGUGAAUACUCAUUCACACAUAACACAACCAAAUAUAUACACAUAGCACGUAUUUUUAUAUAAAAUACUUCGUAUUAUUGUAUUAGAAGAAAUAACUACACACUCACUUGAUCAGAAGACGAUCCGACAGCACUACGGCUUAUAGAAGUAGUAAUCCACAGCAGAUCUGGAAGAUCUCCUCGAAAAUCGAACUUCUCGCGGGCAGAGCUUCGACUCGGGAACCGCGCUUCUCGGGAUCUUCGGGAUCUCGGGACUUGCCUCGGGGCUAGAGUAUGAUACCGGGACUUCGGGGUAGCUUCGGGGGUUUUUGCGCAGAGCUUCGACACGAAAACGAGAGGGAAUUGGCAAAAAUACCCGGAACCCUCGCAUCCUAUUUAUAGGAGGCUGGAGCCUCGGAGUACGCGGGGCGUACUGCGUUACGCGGGGCGUACUGCCCAAAACGUCAUUGCUUACGUAUCCGAAGUGCUCGAGUGCGAGUGUCGACAUCCCUCGGAGUACGCGGGGCGUACUCGAGUACGCGGGGCGUACCUCGGAUCAGAUCGGUGACUCCUUCGGAUAAUGCUUCCGAAUUUUGAAUUAAAUAUAAAUAUAAAAUGAUUAAUAAACUUCGGAAAUUCAUAACUUCUUCAUACGAACUCCGUUUUCGACGUUCUUUAUAUCCACGCGAAGGUGAGACCACGCUCUACGACUUUCGUUUAGACUCCGUCGGCUAAUUUCGACGUUAUUUUUAUUAAUUAUUUUUAAUAGGCCGCGACAGAAACUUUCGUUAUAAAUUCAUAACUUCUUCGUUUGACGUCCGUUCUCGCCUCACUUUUUAUCGCUUCGAUACCAACAAUGAGA